rnacentral:rRNA from 1 species
UACGUAGGGUCCAAGCGUUGUCCGGAUUUAUUGGGCGUAAAGAGCUCGUAGGCGGUUCGGUAAGUCGGAUGUGAAAACUCAGGGCUCAACCCGGAGACGCCAUCCGAUACUGCUGUGACUUGAGUCUGGUAGGGGAUCACGGAAUACCUGGUGUAGCGGUGAAAUGCGCAGAUAUCAGGAGGAACACCAGCGGCGAAGGCGCCGCUCUGGGCCGUAACUGACGCUGAGGAGCGAAAGCAUGGGUAGCAAACAGG